UACGGAGGGUGCAAGCGUUAUCCGGAUUCACUGGGUUUAAAGGGUGCGUAGGCGGAUAGGUAAGUCCGUGGUGAAAUCCUGCAGCUUAACUGCAGAACUGCCGUGGAUACUAUCUAUCUUGAAUGUCGUGGAGGUUAGCGGAAUAUGUCAUGUAGCGGUGAAAUGCUUAGAUAUGACAUAGAACACCCAUUGCGAAGGCAGCUAACUACGCGAUAAUUGACGCUGAUGCACGAAAGCGUGGGGAUCAAACA
rnacentral:rRNA from 1 species